rnacentral:lncRNA from 10 species
CCGAGGGGCUGCUGCACCAGCCAAUCGGGAACCCCGAUGCGCGUCUGUUGGCUGCCACUCAGCUGUCAACCGUCAGUCAACAGUCUGCUGGCCACGGGCCCCCCAACUGUCAGUCAACCUGUCAGUCAACAGGCAGAGGGCUGCAUUCCUUCGUUCGUAUGUUCCUUGGUUCAUUCAUUCAGACCUCCGAAGUGUUUCUUGAGGAAAUGUGGCUGCAGACCCUAGAAGAAGCUACACAGCACUUGCCAGGGCUGGGAUGAUGUCCAGGCCAUGGAAACACCGUGUACCUGGUCCCAGGAAGAUGAAGUGUGGGCCCAGAGACUAAUGGCUUGAGCAUCUCAGGCUAAGGUUGCCGAGAAGUAGACAGCACCUCUAGAUCCUAGUCAACAUCUCUACAGGCUUGAAGUCUCCCCAGAGGGCAAGGUUGGAAUAAAUCUGAAGCCUGUGGCUUGCCUGGGAGCUGCCCAGACUGUGGCAUCUGGGGAGUGACUUUUUAAUUUUAAUUUUAUUUUGAGACAGAGUCUUG